GAUGAACGCUAGCGACAGGCUUAACACAUGCAAGUCGAGGGGCAGCACGGUGUAGCAAUACAUUGGUGGCGACCGGCGCACGGGUGGGUAACGCGUAUGCAACCUACCUAUCAGAGGGGAAUAACCCGGCGAAAGUCGGACUAAUACCGCAUAAAACAGGGGUUCCACAUGGAAAUAUUUGUUAAAGAUUUAUCGCUGAUAGAUGGGCAUGCGUUCCAUUAGAUAGUUGGUGAGGUAACGGCUCACCAAGUCUACGAUGGAUAGGGGUUCUGAGAGGAAGGUCCCCCACACUGGUACUGAGACACGGACCAGACUCCUACGGGAGGCAGCAGUGAGGAAUAUUGGUCAAUGGGCGAGAGCCUGAACCAGCCAAGUCGCGUGAAGGAUGAAGGAUCUAUGGUUUGUAAACUUCUUUUAUAUGGGAAUAAAGUGAGGAACGUGUUCCUUUUUGUAUGUACCAUAUGAAUAAGCAUCGGCUAACUCCGUGCCAGCCGCCGCUGUAA
rnacentral:rRNA from 1 species